GAUGAACGCUGACAGAAUGCUUAACACAUGCAAGUCUAAUUGAUUCUACUUCGGUAGUUGAUGGUGGCGGACGGGUGAGUAACGCGUAAAGAAUCUGCCCUUUAGUUUGGGAUAACCAUUGGAAACGAAGGCUAAUACCGAAUAUUAUGGAGAUGUCGCCUGACAACUUCAUGAAAGCAAUAUGCGCUAGAGGAGGACUUUGCGUCCCAUCAGUUAGUUGGUGAGGUAAUGGCUAACCAAGACCGCGAUGGGUAGCAGGCCUGAGAGGGUGGUCGGACACAAGGGAAGUGGGACACGGUCCUUACUCCUACGGGAGGCAGCAGUGGGGAAUAUUGGACAAUGGACCACAAGUCUGAUCCAGCAAUUCUGUGUGCACGAUGAAGGUCUUCGGAUUGUAAAGUGCUUUCAGUAGGGAAGAAAAAAAUGACGGUACCUACAGAAGAAGCGACGGCUAAAUAUGUGCCAGCAGCCGCCGUAA
rnacentral:rRNA from 1 species